AUGAACGCUAGCGGUGCGCCUAAUACAUGCAAGUCGAACGGGAUAGCAAUAUCCAGUGGCAGACGGCUGAGUAACACGUUGGUACAUACCCCUAACUCAGGGAUAACUGCCCGAAAGGGUGGCUAAUACCGGAUAAUCCCGAAAGGGUAAAGAUUUUUCGGUUAGGGAGUGGCCUGCGGCCUAUCAGCUAGUUGGUGAGGUAAUGGCUCACCAAGGCUUUUGACGGGUAGCUGGUCUGAGAGGACGAUCAGCAACAUUGGGACUGAGACACUGCCCAGACUCCUACGGGAGGCUGCAGUCGAGGAUCUUUAGCAAUGCCCGAAAGGGUGACUAUGCGACGCCGCGUGGAGGAUGAAGGCCUUCGGGUUGUAAACUCCUGUCAGGGGGGAAGAAACCUUGCUGUUUAAGAGAUAGCAAGCUGACAUCACCCCCAAAGGAAGCCACGGCUAACUCUGU
rnacentral:rRNA from 1 species